rnacentral:tRNA from 1 species
GGGAACGUGGCUCAGUGGUAGAGUGCUUGCCUUGCAUGCAUGAGGCCCUGCGUUCGAUUCCU